rnacentral:misc_RNA from 1 species
GUGGGGACUUAUGUUCAAAUCAACAGUUUCAAAAGCGCAAUUAUACCAAAAUGAAGUGGGAUCGAUGCGGGAAGAAAGGUUUUGGCCUACGAUUGGAAGAGAGUAUUUCCAAAGGGCAAUUUCUUAUUGAAUAUGUUGGAGAGGUGCUUGAUAUGCAUACUUAUGAGGCGCGGCAGAGAGAAUAUGCGUCUAAGGGUCAUAAGCAUUUCUACUUCAUGACAUUGAAUGGCAGUGAGGUGAUAGAUGCUUGUGCAAAAGGAAAUUUGGGGCGAUUCAUUAACCAUAGUUGUGAUCCUAAUUGUCGUACUGAAAAGUGGGUGGCCAAUGGAGAAAUCUGUAUUGGAUUAUUUGCAUUGAGGGACAUUAAGAAGGGUGAAGAAGUGACUUUUGACUACAACUAUGUAAGAGUGGUUGGGGCUGCUGCAAAACGAUGUUAUUGUGGUU